rnacentral:rRNA from 1 species
CCUACGGGGGGCUGCAGUGGGGAAUAUUGGACAAUGGGCGAAAGCCUGAUCCAGCCAUGCCGCGUGUGUGAAGAAGGCCUUCGGGUUGUAAAGCACUUUCAGUGGGGAAGAAAGCCUUGGGGCUAAUACCCUCGAGGAAGGACAUCACCCACAGAAGAAGCACCGGCUAACUCCGUGCCAGCAGCCGCGGUAAUACGGAGGGUGCGAGCGUUAAUCGGAAUUACUGGGCGUAAAGCGCGCGUAGGCGGUCUGAUAAGCCGGUUGUGAAAGCCCCGGGCUCAACCUGGGAACGGCAUCCAGAACUGUCAGGCUAGAGUGCAGGAGAGGAAGGUAGAAUUCCCGGUGUAGCGGUGAAAUGCGUAGAGAUCGGGAGGAAUACCAGUGGCGAAGGCGGCCUUCUGGACUGACACUGACGCUGAGGUGCGAAAGCGUGGGUAGCAAACAGGAUUAGAUACCCGAGUAGUC